UACAGACAUCAUGUUAAUAUAGGUUACCAUACAGACAUCAUGUUAAUAUAGGUUACACUACAGACAUCAUGUUAAUAUAGGUUACACUACAGAAAUGAUUUGAGGUAGUGCUGAUUGAGCUGUACAUUGUGUUAACAUUACUGUAGAACCUAUUGCAUUUUUCAAAGUCAGCCAGCCAACCACUCAGCCAGCUAGCCAUUCAGCCAUCCGGCCAGUCAGUCAGUCAGCCAGUCAAUCAGCCAUCCAGUCAGCCAGUCAGUCAGUCAGUCAACCAGUCAGUCAGCCAGUCAAUCAGCCAUCCAGUCAGCAAGUCAGCCAUCCAGUCAGCCAGUCAGCCAUCCAGUCAGCCAGUCAGCCAGCCAGUCAGUCAGUCAGUCAGUCAGCCAUCCAGUCAGCCAGUCAACCAGUCAGCCAGCCAACCAGUCAGCCAGCUAGCCAUUCAGCCAUCCGGUCAGUCAGUCAGCCAGUCAAUCAGCCAUCCAGUCAGCCAGUCAGUCAGUCAGCCAGUCAAUCAGCCAUCCAGUCAGCAAGUCAGCCAGCCAGUCAGCCAGUCAGCAAGUCAGCCAGCCAGCCAGCCAGUCAGUCAGCCAUCCAGCCAGCCAGUCAGUCAGUCAGUCAGUCAGUCAGUCAGUCAGCCAUCCAGUCAGCCAGUCAACCAGUCAGCCAGCC
rnacentral:lncRNA from 1 species